rnacentral:rRNA from 1 species
AUUGAACGCUGGCGGCAGGCCUAACACAUGCAAGUCGAACGAGUGGCGGAAGGGUGAGUAAUGUCUGGGAAACUGCCUGAUGGAGGGGGAUAACUACUGGAAACGGUAGCUAAUAACGCAUACCAUCAGAUGUGCCCAGAUGGGAUUAGCUUGUUGGUGGGGUAACGGCUGACCAAGGCGACGAUCCCUAGCUGGUCUGAGAGGGUGACCAGACAUGUUUGAACUGAACCACGUGCCGAUCGCCUACGGGAGGCAGCAGUGGGGGAGAGCGCGCAAUGGGGGCGAGCCGGAUGCAGCCAUGCCGCGUGUGUUAAGAAGUCCUUCGGGUUGUAAAGGACUUUCGGCGGGGAGGCGGGACCCGCAGAAUAAGCACCGGCUAACCCCGCGCCAGCAGCCGCGGUAAUUC